AUGCAACUUAGACCAUUUGACUUUACGACCACAAUCGCUAGCCAUGACUGCUCCGCGUCUGGCAGCGCAAAUGUUGCCCAACCGGGUGUACGACAGUGUGGACCAGCCUCUGGCAGCACUACCAUCUCCACGUGCACCAUUUCAACUGUACAUAUAGCCUACUCAACUUAUGACCAAAUCGUGUUACGACCCGUCUGCCGGUCCCAAUCGUGGUCAAAGUUCAAUGGUGGCAGUCAUAUCAAUCAUAGCAUUUUCUGGACAAACCUCAGCCCUAAAGGUGGUGGAGAACCCAAAGGGGAGUUGCUGGAAGCCAUCAAACGUGACUUUGGUUCCUUUGACAAGUUUAAGGAGAGGCUGACGGCUGCGUCUGUUGGUGUCCAAGGCUCAGGUUGGGGUUGGCUUGGUUUCAAUAAGGAACGGGGACACUUACAAAUUGCUGCUUGUCCGAAUCAGGAUCCACUGCAAGGAACAACAGGCCUUAUUCCACUGCUGGGGAUUGAUGUGUGGGAGCAUGCUUAUUACCUUCAGUAUAAAAAUGUCAGACCUGAUUACCUAAAAGCUAUUUGGAAUAUAAUCAACUGGGAGAAUGUAACUGAAAGAUACAUGGCUUGCAAAAAGUAAACCAUUAUUAUACUGA